rnacentral:rRNA from 1 species
GAUCAUGGCUCAGGAUGAACGCUGGCGGCGUGCUUAACACAUGCAAGUCGAACGAAGCAUUUAGAACGGAUUACUUCGGUUUGAAGUUCUUUAUGACUGAGUGGCGGACGGGUGAGUAACGCGUGGGUAACCUGCCUUGUACUGGGGGAUAGCAGCUGGAAACGGCUGGUAAUACCGCAUAAGCGCACAAUGUUGCAUGACAUGGUGUGAAAAACUCCGGUGGUAUAAGAUGGACCCGCGU